GACGAACGCUGGCGGCGUGCCUAAUACAUGCAAGUCGAACGCAGUGGGGACGGGUGAGUAACACGUGGGUAACCUCCCAUCAGAGGGGAUAACACUUGGAAACAGGUGCUAAACCGAUACUGAUGGAUGGACCCGCGGUGCAUUCGCUAGUGGGUGAGGUAACGGCUCACCAAGGCCACGAUGCAUAGCCGACCGGCGAGGGGGAUGGGCCACACGGGGAGGGAGACACGGCCCAUACUCCUACGGGAGGCAGCAGUAGGGAAUCUUACGCAAUGGGCGCAAGCCGGACGGAGCAACGCCGCGUGAGUGAAGAAGGUUUGCGGAUCGUAAAGCUCUGUUGUAAGAGAAGCGGUAUCUUACCAGAAAGCCACGGCUAACGACGUGCCAGCAGCCGCGGUAAUAC
rnacentral:rRNA from 1 species